GUGGCGGGCGCCUGUAGAGCCAGAUACUUGGGAGGAUGAGGCAGGAGAAUGGUGUGAACCCGGGAGGCGGAGCUUGCAGUGAGCCGAGAUCGCCCCACUGCACUCCAGGCUCGGUGACAGAGUGAGACUCUGUCUCAAAGAAAAAAAAAAAAAAAGAUUCCAACCCUUUUCUUAAGUGUCAGUCUGUUAAGUUGUGCUCUCAAAUGGUUCCUGGUUCUUUUCAUGCCCUUUCCCCAGGAAUG
rnacentral:lncRNA from 1 species